CUGAAUGAGGAACGAACAUUAAGGCAGCCCCUACAUAACCUGAUUCCUGGUCCUCGGAAUCUCCACCCCAGGUCUUUUGUCCUCUUCUCAUCAUUUUUUUGGUUAGUCAGUCAAAAAGUAAAGCAAAUAUCAGGGAUUUAUGUGCCCCGUGCUACAUUGAGAGAGAGAAUGUAAGUUCUCAGCCUUGAAACCCAUGAUUACAUGGCAGGAAGCAAGAAUUGCCUCAAUGGAACCACUGGGAGUGGAGGACACAGCGAAACACACAACGCCAGGUGAGUGGCAUCAAAGCACUGAGCUGGAGGGGCAGAGCCCAGUGAGCGGCUCUGGCAUCUGGCUGAUCAUUGGACAAGGAAAAGAUGGGAACUUCAGGGGCAGAAGCCUGAGGAGGCAACACAAUAGUGAUAGAAGAGGAGGGAGACCAGCAUGGGCUCGCAGGACAUACAGGAGCAAAGCCGGCCAUGCCGUGCAGGGAAAGUGAUCCUUUACAAACUUCCUGAAUUUUGAUUUAGGAGUAAAUUGGAUUCUGGAGUAAAACCUGAGCAGUGAAGCUGCAGAGACAAGUGAGAGAGGUAGGAAAACAAUCAUGUGUGGCGGGCAGAAGUAUCCUCCCAAAGAUGUCCAUGGCUUCAUCUGCAGAACCUCCUGAUGUGUUCCCCUCACAUGACAAAGGGACUUUGCAACCGAGACUAAGGGCAUAGAUUUGGGUUGGGGAGAUUCUCUUGGAUUAUCAGGCAGGCUGAGUCUAAUCACAGGAGUCUUUAAAAACAGAGGACCUUUUUCGUCCAUAAUUAGAGCAGGCCACAGAGGAAGGGUCAGAGACUGCAACACUGCUGGCU
rnacentral:lncRNA from 10 species